rnacentral:tRNA from 1 species
GCCGGAUAGCAAAGCGGUUAUGCAGGGGUCUGCAAAGCCUUACAGACCAGUUCGACUCUGGUUCCGGCCUCCAU